UCAGUGGAUUUAGAUCAUUGAUAUACUUAUAAUUGUAAGAUGUAAACUAUUUUAUUUUAUUUGUUUAAACAAAGAACAACACAAGAGCAGUGAGGCUGUAUUUAUAGUUCAGCAAUGAUAAGUGAUAUUUUUAGAGAUGCUAGUAACAUUGAUCUGCGCUUUACUUCUUUAAGGACUAUGUGCUUUACUGCAGAACCUCUGAUCUUAUGAAAUGAGGGGUUUGACUUUCUCUUUCAUCGCAAUUUUAGAGCUUUUGGAGAUGAUAGAAUAAUUUGUACCAUUAUUGUGAUGAUGACAAUUAAGCUUGGUUUGGAUUUGAUUUGAAACCACAUGAAUGUUUUCACACCUCCCGUUACUGAGAUUCUCAUUUGAUGAACCAAAUUUUUCUUGCUGAUAAAAGUUAUUCUGAAGCUAUUUAGGUUUGUGAUUGUAUAAAAUCAGGUUCAAACCAAUGAGGAAACUAUUAGUAGUAUUUAAUUUAGAAGUUGGGGGUAUUUGAUCAUAUAUGCUUCACAAAAUUUAUACUCACAUGGGGUGUAUAAAGAAGAAUUGCAAUGGAAGUUCAAGAAGAAAGAAAAAUUGAAUUCAUAGAGCAGGUAGGAGAAGCACUUGAUGUGUGUGGUUCUGUUUUUUGUCUAGGUAGAGAGGAUGGGUAACAUUAGAAACUACAUUUCCUUAAUAUUCACCUUGAAUAUCGGUUAUCUAUUGUUAAGUAGAAGUCAUGGACAUAUGGAUAUUAUUGUUAAAUUCUUGGUUAAUUGUGAAAAACAGAAGAGUACUUGUGCUUUCAUUUGGGAUUUUUUUACCAUGUGGCUUGGUUUUAGUAUCAAAACAAGGUAUUCGUGUCUUUCCGCAUGAAAAGUGAACAAGCACAGAUUCCACUACCAAGUAUUCAUUUUCAACGAGAGGUUGAGUUUUUGAUUCUCAUUGAAAGGUUUAUGACACACGAAAUAGAAGUUUUGUUCAGAGAGGGGUGAUUUUGGAGCUCGAGUUACUGAUUUUGUUGCUGCAAAGGCGGUUGAUGUCAAUGCCGAGGAAACAAGUCCAUGUCUGUCAUUAAUGCAGGGUCUUGUAGUUACGCUGCUCCAGUUUAACAGUCUACACUUACGGAAUUAUCAAAGUGAAGUAUGGGCAAGAUGCAUGCAAGGUUGGUGAUGAAGGUGGAUUCACUCCAAAUGUCCAGGAUAACAUGGAAGAUUUAGUUACACUGGCAAGAUUAAAAUUGACAUGGAUGUAGCAGCAUCUGAGUUCUUGACUAAGAAAGCCAAUAUGAUCUCAAUUUUAAGAAACAACCAAAUGAUGGAACACAUGUAUUUGAUACUCAGAGCCUCUGUGAAUUUUAUAAGGAGUUCAAUGAUUUUGCUACUGUAUCUAGUGAAGAUCCAUUAGACCAAGAUGAUAGGAGUUCAUGGGCAGCACUACGAUCUUCAGUUGAUAUUUAACAUGUUGGUGACUAAUCCAAAGAGAAUUGCGAAGCAAUUCAGAAAAAGAUAUGCAAUGCAUUGUUUUUUGAGAAGGUAAUAGGAAUCUUGUCUCAUACUUGAUGAUGACGAGUCUUAUAUUGAAGAAGGCCAUAGGGUAAGUCUUAACUUCUUAGUAUUUUUGUUUUAUACCAUGUUAUCCUAUUCUUGUUUGUUUAUUUAAGGGUAACAUAACAUUUUCUUUAGGCUUGCACCAGGAACUUAAGUUGGUUAACAUGCCUCAUAUUUUUUGUCCUUGUAUUUUUUGAUGCAUGUCUUUCCAGAAGAAAAUAGUGUGUAUGCCAUGCUAUUGAAGUCAUUUUGUCUGAAAGCUAGUAACUCAGAUGUUUCUAUGUGCUGUUAAUCUUCCCUCAUAGACAAAAUAGGGAUGGGCAUUUCCCAAUCUCCAAGUUGGGGUGUUGCAUAUACUCAUCCAGUCUGAUUUUCUUAUAGAAAGUUCACUUGGAGAAGGGUAGCCUAGUUUCUGUGCAGUUAUUUUUUCUUGUAAGUGCAGACAAACGAAAAAUGAGUACAAAUUGAAAAUUCUUGUUUAAGUACUCAACCAUUGAAGUGACAACUUUAACAGAAGAUUAACAAGAAUGGAGUGAAUCUACAAGCCUUGUAGAAUGUGUUGUGUUUCUGAUCUUUUAUAGAAACUAUUCCUUUUGUCAAAACCCUAGAUAUUUGAGUACUUCUAAUAUAGUAUCUUGGAAACCAACUAAACAAAACAGAGUUUAUAACAGUACUGUAGUACAUUACAGUUUUUCAACUAGGUGGCUACAUGCACGAGUAUAUUCGGUUAGCUUCAGUGAAGUGUGUGCUAUUGCAAAGCAUCUUUAGUACAGUUGACUGCAAACUUCUCUAGCAAAUUACGUAAUGCAAAAGCUCAGACCUAAUUUGAAGUUGUUAAGCAAUGUGUCUAAAGUACCUUCUUACUACAAAUUGACGUUGAAGACCAGAAUACUCCUUGAACUGCAAUAUGCAGAAACUGAAACGUAAAUUUUGUGUUAGUUUCCUUUUCACUGAAUUCAGUAGGAAUUGAAACAGAAUCGGAAAAUGUCACUGAAUAUGAUUACGACUCAGAGACUCGAGUGCAACCUCAUUCUACACGAGCCCCAAUGACCAACGGGCAGUUAGCAGCGGUGGAGUCUUCAUUUCACAAGCACAUUAAACUCUGAAGUAUUCCCAACAGAUUAAUAGAUGCUUGGGAAGGAGCUGAAGUGUUGCUCCUAAAGCCAGACUAACAAGCAAGGCUGUUAUUAUGUUCUUUUGGUUUAAAGAAAGUCUAUGGUAAA